rnacentral:rRNA from 1 species
AGAGUUUGAUCAUGGCUCAGGACGAACGCUGGCGGCGUGCCUAACACAUGCAAGUCGAGCGAUGAAACCCUUCGGGGUGAAUUAGCGGCGGACGGGUGAGUAACACGUGGGUAACCUGCCUCAAAGAGGGGAAUAGCCUCCCGAAAGGGAGAUUAAUACCGCAUAAUAUGUUUUAGUCGCAUGACUGAAACAUCAAAGGAUUCUCUUCGGAGAUUCCACUUUGAGAUGGACCCGCGGCGCAUUAGCUAGUUGGUGAGGUAACGGCUCACCAAGGCAACGAUGCGUAGCCGACCUGAGAGGGUGAUCGGCCACAUUGGAACUGAGACACGGUCCAGACUCCUACGGGAGGCAGCAGUGGGGAAUAUUGCGCAAUGGGGGAAACCCUGACGCAGCAACGCCGCGUGAAUGAUGAAGGCCUUCGGGUUGUAAAGUUCUGUCUUCUGGGACGAUAAUGACGGUACCAGAGGAGGAAGCCACGGCUAACUACGUGCCAGCAGCCGCGGUAAUACGUAGGUGGCAAGCGUUGUCCGGAUUUACUGGGCGUAAAGGAUGCGUAGGCGGACAUUUAAGUCAGAUGUGAAAUACCCGAGCUUAACUUGGGUGCUGCAUUUGAAACUGGGUGUCUAGAGUGCAGGAGAGGUAAGUGGAAUUCCUAGUGUAGCGGUGAAAUGCGUAGAGAUUAGGAAGAACACCAGUGGCGAAGGCGACUUACUGGACUGUAACUGACGCUGAGGCAUGAAAGCGUGGGGAGCAAACAGGAUUAGAUACCCUAGUAGUCC